GAGCAAGAUAAAAAGCAAAUGAGCGAAAGAGCCGGAGAAUGGUGCAAAAAAUGUCAAGCGUUGCUCGUGUCCUACUAAAUUGAAAAUAGUGUUUGCCGCCACUUGUGUGUGUGUGUGUGUGUCUGUGGGCCGUCCGUCCGCCACUGUUCCAUUCCGCUGCCUGCGUGCGGUGGUGAUUCUCGCGUUACGCGUUUUGGCUGUGCGUCACGCGGGGUGGCUUUGGCACAUUUGUGUCUUCUCUUCCCUGCCUCCCCUCCCCCCUGCCGGACACCAGUCUCCCCCCUGUAGAGCGUUUGCCACACUGUCCUUUCCAGUCGGUCAGCCGAGCGCGAGAGGUUAAAUCGGUUCGUGCCGUCUACUUGGCAACACGCAGCCUGGCUCUCACGUUCGCCCAUCAUCGCGUGCCGCAGUCAGUGUUCUUGCCGAGUUUUCAGUCCGGGUGAUUUUAUUUUAAGCAGUGAAGCAUCGGCUUCUUCUUCCGGGGUAUCGCCGUACCGCCCGCAUCAGUGUUUUUUGGCAACUUCAGGUGCGCGGUGCACAGGAAUCGAAGCAGCGGGGCUGCCCCAAGUGACUCGGGUUUGCUCGGUUUUCUUCUUCCCCGCGGUGCUGUUCUAAGUGUCCCUGGUGGCAGCUUGCGUGGGAAAAGCCGAUCCGAUUGCUCACAACCGCUCGCUCCUACACUUCCAUCAACGCACCGUGGCCACGUCCUGUCAGAAACCUCAACCAAGCAUCGCUCUACUAGCUCCGGUCGUAUUAUUUGUUUACUGUUCUUUUUAAGUGUUUUAAUGUUGUGUAAAUGAAAAAGUGUUUAAAGUGAAUGAAGGGAACGCGAUGAAAAGUAGCGCUCAAAAGUGAUCCACCGUAGAUUAUGAUUCUGAAAGCUUGUCCCAGCUCCAAAGUGUACACAGUGAGCACCAUUAUAGUGACGAUUGGUCUUCCGACAACGACAAAUAAGUAAGAACAUCAGUGAUUAAUCGGUAGUUCAAGGUAGUUUGCUUUCGUGCUUUGCUUUAAGGUGUUUACCGCCGCAUUUGUGUCGGUGUUUAGUGUCGGGUGCUUAGGGCAAGAACGUGUAACAAGUGUGGUGAGGUGACAUUAUCACCUCGGUUUGAUUUGCUUCGUGUAAUCAGUCAGCGUUAGUCAUCAUAGCUUCCAAAACGGCAUCCGGUAGCGGUUGGCGAGCAAGCAGCAAGGUGUCCCAGGAAGAUGUAAGCGAUGAUGGAGCCACCGGAAGCUACGACGAUGGUGCGACCACGCGACGCGGCCGGUUCCGUGUGUCGGCACCAUCGACCGGCCCCCCAGAAACCACCGUAGGUCGGUUCC